rnacentral:tRNA from 1 species
GCCUGGGAGGCUCAGCGGUUGAGCCUCUGCCUUUGGCUCAGGGUGUGAUCCUGGGGUCCUGGGAUCGAGUCCCACCUCAGGCU